rnacentral:rRNA from 1 species
AGAGUUUGAUCAUGGCUCAGGACGAACGCUGGCGGCGUGCCUAAUACAUGCAAGUCGAACGGUCUUUUCUAUGGAAGCUUGCUUCCACUGAGAAGAUAGUGGCGAACGGGUGAGUAACACGUGGGUAACCUGCCCAUAAGAGGGGGAUAACAUCCGGAAACGGGUGCUAAUACCGCAUAGUUUUCUUGAUCGCAUGAUUGAGAAAGGAAAGACGGCCUUUGUGCUGUCGCUUAUGGAUGGACCCGCGGCGUAUUAGUUAGUUGGUGAGGUAAUGGCUCACCAAGACGAUGAUACGUAGCCGACCUGAGAGGGUGAUCGGCCACAUUGGGACUGAGACACGGCCCAAACUCCUACGGGAGGCAGCAGUAGGGAAUCUUCCGCAAUGGACGAAAGUCUGACGGAGCAACGCCGCGUGAGUGAAGAAGGUUUUCGGAUCGUAAAACUCUGUUGUCAGAGAAGAACAAGUUGGAGAGUAACUGCUCCAGCCUUGACGGUAUCUGACCAGAAAGCCACGGCUAACUACGUGCCAGCAGCCGCGGUAAUACGUAGGUGGCAAGCGUUGUCCGGAUUUAUUGGGCGUAAAGCGAGCGCAGGCGGUUCCUUAAGUCUGAUGUGAAAGCCCACGGCUCAACCGUGGAAGGUCAUUGGAAACUGGGGAACUUGAGUGCAGAAGAGGAGAGUGGAAUUCCAUGUGUAGCGGUGAAAUGCGUAGAUAUAUGGAGGAACACCAGUGGCGAAGGCGACUCUCUGGUCUGUAACUGACGCUGAGGCUCGAAAGCGUGGGGAGCAAACAGGAUUAGAUACCCUGGUAGUCCACGCCGUAAACGAUGAGUGCUAAGUGUUGGAGGGUUUCCACCCUUCAGUGCUGCAGCUAACGCAUUAAGCACUCCGCCUGGGGAGUACGGCCGCAAGGCUGAAACUCAAAUGAAUUGACGG